CUGCAACUGAUCAGUCCCAAAUAGGACGAAACGGGCGUCCUGGAU
rfam:Schistosoma mansoni strain Puerto Rico chromosome 2, complete genome